rnacentral:rRNA from 1 species
CAUCACCGGUAUAUAUUAGGUGCAAGUCUUUUUCCCGGAAUUUUUUGGGGUAAAGGCGCGCAGGGGGUUCCUUUAAUUUGAUGUGAAAGCCCCCCGGCUCUACCCGGGAGGGGUCAUUGGAAAAUGGGGAAAUUGAGACCGAAGGAGAAGGAGUGGAAUUUCCCGGUAGCGGUGAAAAGCGUAGAGAUGUGGAGGAACACCACUGGGGGAAGGGGACUUUUUGGUCUCUAAAUGACGCUGAGGGGGGAAAGCGUGGGGAGCAAACACGGUUAGAUACCCCGGGAGUCCACGCUGGAAAAGAAGAGUGGUAAGUGUUAGGGGGUUUCCGCCCUUUAGUUUUGCAAGAAAAGCAUUAAACACUCCCCCUGGGGAGAACCGCCCCAAGGUUCAAACUCCAAGGAAUUUGCGGGGGCCCCCCCAAAGGGUUGAGCCUUUGGUUUAAUUUGAAGCAACGGGAAGAACCUUACCAGGUUUUGGCCUUUCCUGACAACCCUUAAGAUUGGGCGUUCCCCUUCGGGGGACAGGAUGCCAGUGGGUGAUGGGUUUUGUUCACUUGUUGUUUUGAAAGUUUGGGUUAUUUCCCGCAAGAGGCCCAACCCUUGAUUUUGGUUCCCGGCAUUCAGUUGGGCACUCUAAGGUGACUGCCGGUGACAAACCGGAGGAAGGUGGGGAUGACGUCAAAUCAUCAUGCCCCUUAUGACCUGGGCUACACACGUGCUACAAUGGAUGGUACAAAGGGAAGCAAGCCCGCGAGGUUAAGCGAAUCCCAUAAAACCAUUUUCAGUUCGGAUGGCAGGUUGCAACUCGCUUGCAGGAAGCCGGAAUCGCUAGUAAUCGCGGAUCAGCAUGCCGCGGUGAAUACGUUCCCGGGCCUUGUACACACCGCCGGUCACACCAGGAGAGUUGGUACCACCGGAAUUAGGUGGGGUAACCUUUGGAGCCAGCCGCCUAAGGUGGGACAGAUGAUUGGGGGAAGUCGAAACAAGGUAGCCUG